rnacentral:misc_RNA from 1 species
CCGUCACACCAUGGAAGUUGGCCAUGCCCGAAGUCGUUACCCUAACCUUUUUGGAGGGGGGCGCCGAAGGCAGGGCUGAUGACUGGGGUGAAGUCGUAACAAGGUAGCCGUACCGGAAGGUGUGGCUGGAUCACCUCCUUUAAGGGAGACCUACCGAAUUGACUCCGAACGAAUUGUGAAUAGGAGCGAUUAUGGUCACUCUAGGUCGUAGACAGGAUAGAGGAGUCUCAAACUAUUGUUUAGGUUUAGUGCUUGUCAUGAGAUGAGUAUUGGGGCUAUUAGCUCAGGUGGUUAGAGCGCACCCCUGAUAAGGGUGAGGUCCCUGGUUCGAGUCCAGGAUGGCCCACUAGGAUGGGGGUAUAGCUCAGUUGGUAGAGCGCCUGCUUUGCAAGCAGGAUGUCAGCGGUUCGAGUCCGCUUACCUCCACCAAAUUAAGAGAGAAUAAUUUCAGCACCCUGAGUCUUAGGCAUUAUGUCUGAAGAGGUAGGCUGCUGGACUUAGGUCUAGCGAGAACCUUGACAACUGCAUAGAUUAGUCGAAUAGGUAGUUCGACACAGAGAACCAUUAGUAGAAAGACUGAGAGGUCAAGCUACAAAGGGCUCAUGGUGGAUACCUAG